AAGUCUACCUGGCAGGGAAGACACCUUGAUCAUGAAAGAGGUUUUCCCAGGGUAAGGCUCAUCCAUUGCCCUGCCUGAGUGUGCUGAUCUCUGCGAUUUCCCCAAGUGCGAGAAACUCGACUGCAUAAUUUGUAAGCAGUGGUGGCCUGUAGGGGUGGGGCUGG